rnacentral:lncRNA from 1 species
CUCCAGGGCGCAGCUGGCUGGGUCAGCCGCUACUGGGGUCGCAGUGGAGAUGGCGGGCGUGCUGAAGGCUGCGGCCGCCGACGUCUCUAGGAGCCAGUGACAUUCAGGAAUGUUGUUGUAGACUUUACUGAGGAGGAGUGGAGACAACUGAGCCCUCCACAGAGGAAUCUGUACAGAGAAGUGGCGCUGGAGAACUGUAGGAAUCUAAUCUACGUGGUGUUAUCUCCCAGCUGGAGCUAGAAGAGGAGUUGUGGAUGAUGGGCUGGGCACCCCUAACAGUCACUUGUCCAGCUGAGAAGUAGAAGCAUGAAGUUCUUGGAAUUGGUCAAUGAAGAAGGUAUUUCUUACAAUGUUGUCUGAGGAAUUCAUCUCAUAGUCACAUCUGUUUUAACUUAUUCU